GGGUGCGAUCAUACCAGCAAUAAUGCACCGGAUUCCAUCAGAACUCCAAAGUUAAGCGUGCUUGGGCGAGAGUAGUACUAGGAUGGGUGACCCCCUGGGAAGUCCUCGUGUUGCACCCC
rnacentral:rRNA from 1 species